rnacentral:lncRNA from 1 species
CCCAUUCUAAAAUGUCAAGCGUUUCGGUUUUGAGAAAAAAAGAAAGCUGAAGAAAGCAUGACUCAUGACAGGGCUGACAAACAACUAUCCGGAGGUAUGCUAGUGAGUCACGCUGUGGAGAUCUGCCUUUAUGUUGUGGAAAGGGCCCGGGAUGGAAGAAGCAUCAUGGGACCAGCCAGUAAAAUUCCACUACGCUCUGAAGCCCAUUUGGAGGUGAUUUCAAAACACUGGGCUUUUUCCGGCCCCGACCUGAUGGGAGGCUCUGGGUACCCUCAGGGUGCACGCGUGCAGACGCAGAGAACCCCCGGGGACUUGUACCUGGCAAGCUAAGGGAUUUUACUGGAUUGUGAGUCGGUGGGAGCUCCUGGGCGCUGUCCUGCUUUGGCACUGGUCUCUCCAGAGUGGAGCCUGAAAACGUGAUGCUGUUUCCCGGCGAGGCAAGUCUGACAUCACAUCAUGACUCACCGCUCGAAACGUGCCAUUUAAUCUCUUGUGGAUCAAAUUUUGUGAAUUUGGAAAGUGGCUGGAUAACUUUUCUUCGUGUCUCUCCUUUUUUUUUUUUCUGUUCCCGGUUGUGGUGAAAUACACGCAACAUGAACUUCAUUGCUGUGAGCGUUUCAAAGUGGAUAAUUCAGGGGCAUGAAGUACAGGCUGAACGUGGACUUAAUUUUUCAGAAUUUGUUAUCACCCCUAACAGAAGUGCGACACCCAUCAAGCAGCAGUCGCUCACCACUGCUAUCACCCACAGCCUCGGGCCACCACAGAUCUUUCUGUCUCUAUGGAUUUGUGGGUUCUGAACAUUACACAUAAAUGGAAUCCUACCCCAUGUGGCUUCUUCCACUUUGCCUAAUGAUUUCAAGGUUCGCUCAUAUCAUAUCGCCUAUCAGUCCUUCCCUCCUCUUUAUGGCCAAACAAUAUUCCAUUGUGUGGAUACGCCACAUUGUAUUUAUCUAUUCACUUGUUGAUAGACCUGUGGGUUCUUUCCACCUUUUGGCUGUUGUGAACGGUGCUUCCGUGAACAAUCCCGUAUAAAUUUUUGUUCAAACACCUGCUUUCGUUUCUUUUGGGUAUAAACCCCGUGGUGGAAUUGCCGGGUUCAACUCUGGGUCGAACUUGAUGAACUGCCAAACCAUUUUCCACAGCCGCUGCACCUGUGUGCAGCCCCAGCAGCAGUGUGUGAGGCUUUCGCUUUCUCCCG